rnacentral:rRNA from 1 species
UACAGAGGUCCCAAGCGUUGUUCGGAUUCAUUGGGCGUAAAGGGUGCGUAGGCGGCGCGGUAAGUCGGGUGUGAAAUCUCGGGGCUUAACCCCGAAACCUGCAUUCGAUACUGCCGUGCUUGAGGACUGGAGAGGAGACGUGGAAUUUACGGUGUAGCGGUGAGAUGCGUAGAUAUCGUAAGGAAGACCAGUGGCGAAGGCGGU